rnacentral:rRNA from 1 species
GCAACGAGCGCAACCCCUACUUGUUAGUUGCCAUCAUUCAGUUGGGCACUCUAGCGAGACUGCCGGUAAUAAACCGGAGGAAGGUGGGGAUGACGUCAAAUCAUCAUGCCCCUUAUGACCUGGGCUACACACGUGCUACAAUGGUUGGUACAACGAGUUGCGAGUCGGUGACGGCGAGCUAAUCUCUUAAAGCCAAUCUCAGUUCGGAUUGUAGGCUGCAACUCGCCUACAUGAAGUCGGAAUCGCUAGUAAUCGCGGAUCAGCACGCCGCGGUGAAUACGUUCCCGGGCCUU